GACGAACGCUGGCGGCGUGCUUAACACAUGCAAGUCGAGCGGUAAGGCCCUUUCGGGGGUACACGAGCGGCGAACGGGUGAGUAACACGUGGGUGACCUGCCCUCAGCUCUGGGAUAAGCCUGGGAAACUGGGUCUAAUACCGGAUAUGACUCCAUGACGCAUGUUGUGGGGUGGAAAGCCUUGUGCGGCUGAGGAUGGGCCCGCGGCCUAUCAGCUUGUUGGUGGGGUGAUGGCCUACCAAGGCGACGACGGGUAGCCGGCCUGAGAGGGCGACCGGCCACACUGGGACUGAGACACGGCCCAGACUCCUACGGGAGGCAGCAGUGGGGAAUCUUGCGCAAUGGGCGAAAGCCUGACGCAGCGACGCCGCGUGAGGGAUGACGGCCUGU
rnacentral:rRNA from 1 species